rnacentral:lncRNA from 1 species
AAAGAUUGCGGCUUCGCCGCACACAAACCAUAAAACUUAGCCAAAAAAUUUGGAUAACUUUUGAUGCCCCACAUCUCGAGAUGAGCUGGAGCGAUAGACCUUUUUCACGACAACCGGAAGUAGCGCAUACUAGCGCCCAGUCACUUCCUGUCUUCGCGGGUCUAAGGGAAAAUAGCACCUGUUUUUUCAACAAAGUCGCUUAAUUUGCCCACUUUUCGUUCGCUGAUGCGGAGGUAAUCGCUAUCACAGUCAGGUGGAAGGCUGUGAGAAUGGGCUCUAAUUAUAUUCAUGUUUUGUACCUGGAAACAACGUAAAAGGCGCUGGUGUUGGACUGACGAAAGGGACACAGCUAGCCUGAACUGCGUCAGUGAGAUGGGCCGAUAUAAUUGCUCAGCACACCACAGAUGUCCUCAAGUAAUGGCUCACUCAUUGUUCUACUGGUCAAUCAGCAAAGGAAAUCAAUGCAUUUGGGGUCACUUUGAAGAGCAGAAGUGGAGAGCAACACAAUGUUAAACACUAAAUCACUUUUAAGAUGGAGUUGCAGAGCAUGAAGGCGAGGCCACAGCAGAAGGACGAGCGAUGAAGAGCUGGGAGAGAUGCAAAGACCAUGGGGAAGACCUACACCAACAAGUGGUGAAGGCUGUGGACAAGACCGUGUUGAAGAAAUGGAAGUCGUACUUUUAAAUACAGGAUGACAUUUGUGCAAAAAAGAAAAGCUUUAAUAAAACAUUUGUAAAGAGUCUCAUUCAUCUAAAUAUUUCAAAUGACGUUCUGGAUGUAAUUCAAUGUUAAACGUAUACUAGUAUUACAUAUUUAAGUAGAAAGAUUCACAGAGAAAUUGAACACCUCUAAAACUGUGAUUUUUCAUUCUUGACAAACCCGGUGUUGUAGCAGCAGCGUUUGAGCCACGGUCCUUCCAUUUAGCUGGCAGAGUUUUUGGUACAAGUCUUCUCAUAGUUGGCUUCAAUGGAAAUGCUGUUGUUUUUU